GGCAGCACAGAGAAGCUUGCUUCUUGGGUGGCGAGUGGCGAACGGGUGAGUAAUGCAUCGGAACGUACCGAGUAGUGGGGGAUAACUGUCCGAAAGGAUGGCUAAUACCGCAUACGCUUUGAGAAGGAAAGCAGGGGCUCUUCGGACCUUGCGCUAUUCGAGCGGCCGAUGUCUGAUUAGCUGGUUGGUGGGGUAAAGGCCUACCAAGGCGACGAUCAGUAGCGGGUCUGAGAGGAUGAUCCGCCACACUGGGACUGAGACACGGCCCAGACUCCUACGGGAGGCAGCAGUGGGGAAUUUUGGACAAUGGGCGCAAGCCUGAUCCAGCCAUGCCGCGUGUCUGAAGAAGGCCUUCGGGUUGUAAAGGACUUUUGUCAGGGAAGAAAAGGUUGUGGUUAAUACCCAUGACUGAUGACGGUACCUGAAGAAUAAGCACCGGCUAACUACGUGCCAGCAGCCGCGGUAAUACGUAGGGUGCGAGCGUUAAUCGGAAUUACUGGGCGUAAAGCGGGCGCAGACGGUUACUUAAGUCAGAUGUGAAAUCCCCGGGCUCAACCUGGGAACUGCGUUUGAAACUGGGUGACUAGAGUAUGUCAGAGGGGGGUAGAAUUCCACGUGUAGCAGUGAAAUGCGUAGAGAUGUGGAGGAAUACCGAUGGCGAAGGCAGCCCCCUGGGAUAAUACUGACGUUCAUGCCCGAAAGCGUGGGUAGCAAACAGGAUUAGAUACCCUGGUAGUCCA
rnacentral:rRNA from 1 species